rnacentral:rRNA from 1 species
UACGAAGGGGGCUAGCGUUGCUCGGAAUUACUGGGCGUAAAGGGAGCGUAGGCGGAUAGAUUAGUCAGAGGUGAAAGCCCAGGGCUCAACCUUGGAAUUGCCUUUGAUACUGGCUAUCUUGAGUAUGGGAGAGGUAUGUGGAACUCCGAGUGUAGAGGUGAAAUUCGUAGAUAUUCGGAAGAACACCAGUGGCGAAGGCGACAUACUGGCCCAUUACUGACGCUGAGGCUCGAAAGCGUGGGGAGCAAACAGG